UACAGAGGGUGCAAGCGUUGUUCGGAAUUAUUGGGCGUAAAGGGCGCGUAGGCGGUGCGGUAAGUCUGUAGUGAAAUCUCUGGGCUCAACUCAGAGUCUGCUAUAGAAACUGCCGUGCUCGAGUGUGGGGAGAGGUGAGUGGAAUUCCCCGGUGUAGCGGUGAAAAUGCGCAGAUAUCGGGAGGAACACCAAUUCGAAGGCAGCUCGCUGGGACGUUUACUGACGCUGAGACGCGAAAAGCGUGGGGGAGCAAACA
rnacentral:rRNA from 1 species